rnacentral:rRNA from 1 species
UACGGAGGUCUCAAGCGUUGUUCGGAUUCAUUGGGCGUAAAGGGUGCGUAGGCGGCGCGGUAAGUCGGGUGUGAAAUUUCGGAGCUUAACUCCGAAACUGCAUUCGAUACUGCCGUGCUUGAGGACUGGAGAGGAGACUGGAAUUUACGGUGUAGCAGUGAAAUGCGUAGAUAUCUGGAGGAACACCGGUGGCGAAGGCGGCGUUCUGGACUGCAACUGACACUGAAAAACGAAAGCCAGGGGAGCAAACAGG